CACAUUAAGUGCUUAAAACACGGUGUGUGACAGAGUAAGUUCUGUAUACCUGGAAAUGUUAGCUGUCCUCAUCAUCAUCAGACCCAGCCUGACUCCUCAAACCCUUCAUUGCCCAGAGCAUAGUUCCAUUUCCUCUCACUGUCCCACUUAGGCCUUCAGGAUACUUUGAGAUCUCUGGAGAAGCUGGCCAGAUUUCCUGCAGUGGUAGGGGGUGCCGAGGGAGUCUGAGGCUGUGGGGGAAUUCUUAGGGUGAAAAGGCCCAGGUCUCCCCCUGCUACCUUCACCCUGGCAGAUGAUGGUGAAUGUGCCACUCUUCGCGGGGAACCCCCAAUUGCAGGAGCAGCUCCGCCUGCAGCUCCCAGUCUUCCUGCAGCAGAUGCAGAACCCAGAGUCACUCUCCAUCCUUACCAAUCCCCGAGCCAUGCAGGCAUUGCUGCAGAUCCAGCAGGGACUACAGACCUUGCAGACCGAGGCCCCUGGGCUGGUACCCAG
rnacentral:sRNA from 1 species